GACAGGCAAUAUCUCAUGUUUAAUAACCGUUAUUAACUAUCGUGUUAUUUAAUACAUCGAGUGUAAAUAUGCUAGUCCUUUCAUGAUUAUGUGAUAGGUGGUGCAUGGCGUUCUUAGUUCGUGGAGUGAUCUGUCUGCUUAAUUGCGUUUCACUAAGGGCCCAUAAAUUCAAGGUAUGUUAGCUAUCUGUCGCUCUAUGGACCCCUUAA
rnacentral:rRNA from 1 species